GCCCGGGUGGUGAAAUUGGCAAACACGUAUGAUUCAGGUUCAUAUGCCUUCGGGUUUGGGGGUUCAAGUCCCCCCCCGGGCA
rnacentral:tRNA from 1 species